rnacentral:lncRNA from 1 species
GGGUAUUUGCCACUUUCACUGUAAUAUUGUUUCUUUUUUUCAGUUCAUCUGCCACUUCAAAUAAUAACCCAUUUAUCAAGAGAGAAUGCCAUCCACUAUUGCAACAGCAGAACUAAAGAAGUGCUUCCUAAGAACCCAGCAAGAGAAGCUGGGGAACAUCCAUAUCUGGUCCACAAGCAGCAGCUGCAGGGCGAUAAAUUGCAUUCACCAGCAGAGGUCUCCCGCAGCCUGCUGCUGUUACUGAAGCUGGCAGCUUGGAGCUCCGAAGGCAUAGCUAGGGAAAAAUUCAUGCAAGAUCUGGAAAUCAGCUUCCUAGGACAUCUCCGGUUUUCAGCUGAAGAGGGAAAACAAGUACCGGAGGGUUCACAGUUUUCACUGCUUUUCCAGCCAUCUCCUCUCUUCUGCGAAAGGAGUAGCACUUAAGGGUCCCUGCUGACUGCAGGUGUGAUGAUGUGCAAGGGGAAGGUGUGAGUUCUGUGCCCAGAGAGCUCGUGGGAACUAACAACUUGUGUGACAAAUGGCCUCAGAGCAGGUUUCCUGCAUAAUGGGCUCCCACAAAACCAGUAGAGAUCAACUGCAUCCUGAAUGGUCUUCACUCACCAAAUGAUCUUACAAAGUGGUCUCAAGUAGAGUGUAUUGCACUUCAGUUCUGCAGUAGGAAUAGAUCUCUGAACUUCGCCUGUCAUAAUUUGCAGUGAGGACCAGAUGAGGCUGUGCUAUCUGAAAUGUACUUUAACACCUAAGGAUAUUAAUUGAGAGAAUGUAUCAUCAAGGCUUGAAACAAUUACCUGUAUGGGAUGUGUGUUGGAACUGACAGAGUCUUAAAAAAAUAUGUAAUUGUUUCUCCUGUAUUGGGUCCCAGUAGUUACAUAAAAAUGAGUUUAAUUUUCCUGAAGUGAACAGCUUGCACUUUUCACAGUUGUGCUAACACCACAAAAAAAAAAAAACAAAAUCAGCAGAAAGUAAAGAUUUAGAUUGCAUGCUGAUCUCUUGUGCAGCUUUUUUAAUCCUCAGGCCAAGAGGCCAAAAUCCUUAUGAAUACUAAAUGAACCCUAAUUUGGUGGAGGUUGUCAUAAAGCCAGGGGAAUUACUAGCAGUUAAAACAGUAACGCUAUCAUCUCACUUACAGGUAAAUCUGGAUAUAAACUACCAAGGUUACUUGUUGCAGGGAUGUUGUUGUUAUCUCCUUGCCUAGCUAAUUUUUCUUUCUGUACCAAAAGAAAUGCAGAUAUGUAGGUAAAACUAAAAUUAUAAUUAUGGUCUGUUUUGGUCUGCCAUCGAAUGAGGUUUGUGUCUUUUUGAUUCCUAGAGAGUCUGAAGAGAUAAACAAUUAUAAAACUGUUUGUCCAUCACCAAGUUACUCCUCUGAUUAAAUUUUGCACCAGAAGUGGCCUUAAAAAUCCUUUUGUACAUUGCUUUGUUUGCAGGGAUAGGAAUAAAUGUUUUCUGCUUAAAAGUGUCCA